rnacentral:sRNA from 1 species
UUGUUGCUUCGGCGGGCCCGCCUUAACUGGCCGCCGGGGGGCUCACGCCCCCGGGCCCGCGCCCGCCGAAGACACCCUCGAACUCUGUCUGAAGAUUGUAGUCUGAGUGAAAACAUAAAUUAUUUAAAACUUUCAACAACGGAUCUCUUGGUUCCGGCAUCGAUGAAGAACGCAGCGAAAUGCGAUACGUAAUGUGAAUUGCAAAUUCAGUGAAUCAUCGAGUCUUUGAACGCACAUUGCGCCCCCUGGUAUUCCGGGGGGCAUGCCUGUCCGAGCGUCAUUACUGCCCUCAAGCCCGGCUUGUGUGUUGGGCCCCGUCCUCCGAUCCCGGGGGACGGGCCCGAAAGGCAGCGGCGGCACCGCGUCCGGUCCUCGAGCGUAUGGGGCUUUGUCACCCGCUCUGUAGGCCCGGCCGGCGCUUGCCGAUCAACCCCAAUUUUUAUAGGUUGACCUCGGAUCAGGUAGGGAUACCCGCUGAACUUAAGCAUAUCAAUAAGCGGAGGAAAAGAAACCAACAGGGAUUGCCCCAGUAACGGCGAGUGAAGCGGCAAGAGCUCAAAUUUGAAAGCUGGCUCCUUCGGGGUCCGCAUUGUAAUUUGCAGAGGAUGCUUCGGGAGCGGUCCCCAUCUAAGUGCCCUGGAACGGGACGUCAUAGAGGGUGAGAAUCCCGUAUGGGAUGGGGUGUCCGCGCCCGUGUGAAGCUCCUUCGACGAGUCGAGUUGUUUGGGAAUGCAGCUCUAAAUGGGUGGUAAAUUUCAUCUAAAGCUAAAUAUUGGCCGGAGACCGAUAGCGCACAAGUAGAGUGAUCGAAAGAUGAAAAGCACUUUGAAAAGAGAGUUAAAAAGCACGUGAAAUUGUUGAAAGGGAAGCGCUUGCGACCAGACUCGCUCGCGGGGUUCAGCCGGCAUUCGUGCCGGUGUACUUCCCCGCGGGCGGGCCAGCGUCGGUUU